rnacentral:rRNA from 1 species
UACAGAGAUCUCAAGCGUUGUUCGGAUUCAUUGGGCGUAAAGCGCACGUAGGCGGAUUGUUAAGUCAGGGGUGAAAUCCUGGAGCUCAACUCCAGAACUGCCUUUGAUACUGGCGAUCUUGAGUCCGGGAGAGGUGAGUGGAACUGCGAGUGUAGAGGUGAAAUUCGUAGAUAUUCGCAAGGACACCAGUGGCGAAGGCGGCUCACUGGCCCGGUACUGACGCUGAGGUGCGAAAGCGUGGGGAGCAAACAGG